rnacentral:snRNA from 1 species
UGCUUGUUUCGGCAGCAAUAUACUAAAAUUGGAAUGAUACAGAAAAGAUUAGCAUGGCCCCUGGGCAAGGAUGACAUGCAAAUUCGUGAAGUUUCCAUAUUUUUA